AUUCACCCCUUCAUGUCACUGACACUUGGUACAGUCUGAUUGUUUACUUCCUGUAUUUAAGAGCUCUGUUUUAGGGUGACCAUGUUUUGCCAGGCCCUAAGAAGAUGUUUCUCUGCCAGCGGAUUUGGAUUUUCUUAACUGAGUUUCCUGGCUGCAGCCUGCGGUGCACUGAGGGUCGUCUUCUUUUUGCAGAACAGGAGCAAUGCUGUAGCUCAUAUUUUCGCUGACAAAAGAGGUGACAGUGAAAGGAAAGUGAAAAGGCUAUAAUAAAUGCUAUGGGAAAGGUACAAGGAAGAAAGUGUGGCGUUUGAAAAUGGAAGCCCCCUCGUGUUUGUGUCUGCCAGAAGCCGGGGGCCGGCGCUGCGGCCUUGUUCAGACUUGUUG